ensembl:lncRNA
GUGGAGAUUCAUGCUUGUGUGAAGCUCAGUGGUCAGAUUCUGUUGUUUCUUGGUAUGAAGAUGAAGGUAAGAAAAUGAAACUGAGAGAAAUGAGUACAAAAAAUUGUUUGCAGUAUUUUGUACUAUGAAGUCAUAUGUUUUAUCCCAGAAAAGGUCCAUGUGGAGAAUAAAAAAAGUGGGAUAAAACUCUACUUUUAAUUCUAAAGGAAUUCUAAAAAAAAGAAAUUGUGUUAAUGACUGAAAUAUUUUAUCUAUAGUAAUUACAUGAAAUAUUUUGGAGAUUCUUAUAUCUGGAAGAUUUUUGGAAACUUGCUGGUUCCCAUUUGUUCACUUAACAAUAUACUUGUACACUUUUUAUUCUCGCUGCUCACUUUUCUUUCUCUAGUCAUGCUCUUGUGUGGUCCCUGCAGCAACAAGUAGGAGAAAAACAUAGACCUGGUGGAGAGGAAACACUUAUAAGGAAAAUAAGAAAAUACAGCUGUAAAUGAUUUUACAUCAUUUCAUAAUGGGGGAUAUUCUGAAGUCACCAGGAGCAUAAAGUACACUUACCAGAGUGAGCUGAUCAUAUUAUUUUCUGGUCCAAGUUACAGGUGCUGGCAUUUAAGCCCUGUAAAUGCCAAUAAGAAAUCUGGGUUGCAGUGGCUGAAGUCAGCUAUUAAAGUGCUUCCUCUACACAUGAAGAAUCUACUGCUUUGAAAAAAUUGUUAUCUUUGGAGUGAGUGGAUAUGUGAACAGCACAACUGUAGCUUAGAUGUAAAAUGCUUUUAUCUAAAAAUAAAAAUAUAGCUUCCAGCCAGCUGUUUGCCUACUGGAGCUUGGCUCUGAUUGGAAUGCUAGCAAAAAGGUGGAGUUCUUGUGAAUUUACUACUGUCUCUCUGCUUGGGAGAUUUGCCAGCUGCAAAGGAAAUAAGAAAUACUCUAUAAACUCCAGUUUGGGGAUGGAGCAUCGAGAGGGCUAACUCAUCAGUAUGUAAGCAAUUCAAACUAAUAAAUACUGCAGGCUCUCUAGGCA